AGUGAACGCUGGCGGUAGGCCUAACACAUGCAAGUCGAACGGCAGCACAGUAAGAGCUUGCUCUUACGGGUGGCGAGUGGCGGACGGGUGAGGAAUACAUCGGAAUCUACUUUUUCGUGGGGGAUAACGUAGGGAAACUUACGCUAAUACCGCAUACGACCUACGGGUGAAAGCAGGGGAUCUUCGGACCCUGCGCGAUUGAAUGAGCCGAUGUCGGAUUAGCUAGUUGGCGGGGUAAAGGCCCACCAAGGCGACGAUCCGUAGCUGGUCUGAGAGGAUGAUCAGCCACACUGGAACUGAGACACGGUCCAGGCUCCUACGGGAGGCAGCAGUGGGGAAUAUUGGACAAUGGGCGCAAGCCUGAUCCAGCCAUACCGCGUGGGUGAAGAAGGCCUUCGGGUUGUAAAGCCCUUUUGUUGGGAAAGAAAAGCAGCAGGUUAAUACCCCGCUGUUCUGACGGUACCCAAAGAAUAAGCACCGGCUAACUUCGUG
rnacentral:rRNA from 1 species